rnacentral:lncRNA from 1 species
CAGGUCUUCUCCAAAUUCAAUCUUCGAAUUGAUAGAGUCUUGAGAGGAACAAAUGGAGAUAAGAUCUCCUCAAAAUCCAAUCUCCAAAUUAGUAGAGCCCCAAGAGGCAUAGAGUUAUGAUCUCCUCAAAAUCUAAUCCUCAGGAUUAGUAGAGCCUUGAGAGGCAUAAAGAUAAGAUCUCCUCAAAAUCCAAUCUCCGAAUUGGUAUAGCUCAAGAGGCAUGAAAAUAAGAUAUCCUCAAAAUUCAAUCUCCAGAUUGGUAGAGCUUUGAAAAAUAUAAAUGGAGAUA